GACGAGCCUCACAAACGUUAUUCGGAAUCACUGGGCUUAAAGGGUGCGUAGGCGGUGUGGAUAGUCGGAUGUGAAAUACCUCAGCUUAACUGAGGAACUGCACUCGAUACUUCCAUGCUAGAGUAAGACAGAGGUGAGUGGAACUGAGGGUGGAGCGGUGAAAUGCGUUGAUAUCCUCAGGAACACCGGUGGCGAAGGCGACUCACUGGGUCUUUACUGACGCUGAUGCACGAAAGCUAGGGUAGCAAACGGG
rnacentral:rRNA from 1 species